GGGCCGGUAGCUCAGUGGUAGAGCAUCUGACUUUUAAUCAGGUGGUCGCGGGUUCGACCCCCGCCCGGCUCACCA
rnacentral:tRNA from 2 species